AGGGUCUAACUCUGUGGCCCAGGCUGGAAUGCUGCAGCAUCAUUACAGCUCACUGCAGCUUCGACCUCCCCAGCUCAAGUGAUCCUCCUGCCUCAGCCUCCCGACUAGCUGGGACCACAGUGAGCACAGGGAGGAGGAGGUGCAUGCAAGCGAUACUGCAGGGACAGAAUCAGAAUCAUCAGCACGUAGCAACUGAUUGGAUUUCUGGAGCAAGAAAGAAGAGUUGAAGAUAAUGUUGAACUUUCUCAUUGGGAGAUUUUACUAACAUUAUUGAGCAAUUACUGCAUGAUGGAUAUUACGCCAAGAGCAUUCCACAAUUAUUAUACCUCCUACGUCUCCCAGUAGUUCUGUUAAGCACUGAAUACUAUGGAUACAAAGAGCCCAGAGUCAUCAAGAGGAACCAGGAACUCUAACAUGAUGUGUGGAGCAGGCUAUGCAAAGAGGGGUACCUCUCCCAGUCAGAGGCAUCAGAGAAGGCUUCCUGGUGGAGAACGUGUGUGAUGGACUUAUGGACUCAUUCACUGCAUCGAUCUUGGGCACUGCCCAGCUUCAUGUUCCACUCUCCCAUUUAUCCCAAAUUGCUGAGGAUUUCCUAAGAACCAUCACUUUCCAGAGCUCAUUAUUUUCUGUUAUUUGCCUCAGCAGCACAAGCUGUUUUCACAAAGAAAUAAAGGGUCUUCUAUUCCAGAAGAGUUCUUCUAUGCAUGUAGGUGAGCAGACAGUGCAGAGCCAUGCUGAGGUGUGUGUGCCUUGCUGUCACUGUCUCUCCUCCGGGAGGAACACUAGGCUCCUGUACACCAGGCUUCCCACAGCCCAGGAGGAACACAUCCAUGCCUUGCCAGUCAUUUGCAUCUUAGUAAGACUAAAACUAAUAAAACUAACAAUAAAACUUAAAAUAGA
rnacentral:lncRNA from 1 species